rnacentral:rRNA from 1 species
GACGAACGCUGGCGGCGUGCUUAACACAUGCAAGUCGAACGGUAAGGCCCUCCGGGGUACACGAGUGGCGAGCGGGUGAGUAACACGUGGGUGAUCUGCCCUGCACUUCGGGAUAAGCCUGGGAAACUGGGUCUAAUACCGGAUAGGACCACUGCCUGCAUGGGUGGUGGUGGAAAGCUUUUGCGGUGUGGGAUGGGCCCGCGGCCUAUCAGCUUGUUGGUGGGGUGAUGGCCUACCAAGGCGACGACGGGUAGCCGGCCUGAGAGGGUGACCGGCCACACUGGGACUGAGAUACGGCCCAGACUCCUACGGGAGGCAGCAGUGGGGAAUAUUGCACAAUGGGCGCAAGCCUGAUGCAGCGACGCCGCGUGAGGGAUGACAGCCUUCGGGUUGUAAACCUCUUUCAGCACCGACGAAGCGCAAGUGACGGUAGGUGCAGAAGAAGGACCGGCCAACUACGUGCCAGCAGCCGCGGUAA